rnacentral:misc_RNA from 1 species
UGAGAGCAACAAUCAAUGGAGGUGAUGAUGUCUUCAUCGUCGAGGCUGAACCCGCACGCAGCGCCGUUCGUGCCGUGGGCGUACCGGGCGGUGGAGGACUACUCGCCGGAGUGGUGGAGCAUGGUGGAGUCCUCGGCUGGGUUCAGGGAUUACUGGCUCAGAGAGUGCUUCCACGAGGAGGAUGUUGAAGUUGAUGAUGUUUGUGAGAGCGUGCUGCCGGAUGCGGAUUCUCUCUUCCAUUCUUACCCUCUCUACUCUAAGGAGGAAGAGGUGAAGGAUCGCAAGAGUGGUGGAUGGGAGCUGAUAGGCUGGGGCGCGGAGAAGUGGCAUGCUGCUUCGGGGCGGGCCUUGGGUCCCAAGUAUUUUGAGAAGGCACCCAAAAUUGUGAACAUGAAGGUUGGCCCUCGUACCAUCCAGCAGCCCAGGUGAAUGUUGUGCCAGGCUCUACUUGCAAGCAGCUGUGUAGCUUUAAUUUCUAGAAUUUGGUGUAUAUUUUCUGACUUGGGAAUAAAUGUGUUA